rnacentral:rRNA from 1 species
CCCUACGGGGUGCACCAGGCAUAUUCCAAAAUCGGAUAUUCCAAAUGCGAUCAUCGAGCUGGAGGCGGAGAUGAUGGCAGCGGCGGAGCGUCUGGAGUUCGAGAGGGCCAUUCAGCUCCGGGAUACCGUCCGCAGGCUGGAGAGGGAGAUGAAGGUGGCUUGAAAAGAGACCAUAAGCAGCAUCUCUCUUUCCAGAGCUGUGAAUUCAAAGGGCCCCAGUGAUCGGAUGAGCGGUGGGAUGGAAGCGAGGGAGGAAGAGGCCCAAAAAGAGAUUACCAGAGGGGUUUCCCUGUGGAUCGGAGAGC